rnacentral:tRNA from 1 species
ACUUCGGUGGUGUAGUGGUCAAAACCCUUGCUUGCUAAUCAGGAGGACGUGGGUUUAAUCCCAGCCGAGGUA